UACGUAGGUGGCGAGCGUUGUCCGGAAUUACUGGGUGUAAAGCGCGUGUAGGCGGGAGGCCAAGUCUGCGGUGAAAUCGCUCGGCUCAACUGGGCGGGGUCCGUGGAAACUGGUCACCUGGAGGACGGUAGAGGCGAGUGGAAUUCCCGGUGUAGUGGUGAAAUGCGUAGAGAUCGGGAGGAACACCAGUGGCGAAGGCGGCUCGCUGGGCCGGACCUGACGCUGAGACGCGAAAGCCAGGGGAGCAAACGGG
rnacentral:rRNA from 1 species